GCAGCAGUGGUUCAGUGGUAGAAUUUUCACCUCCCACGAGGGAGACCCAGGUUCGAUUCCUGGUCAACGCA
rnacentral:tRNA from 1 species